rnacentral:tRNA from 1 species
GCCCAGAUGGCGAAAUGGCAGACGCGGAAGACUCAAAAUCUUCUACUCGAGAGGGUGUGUGGGUUCGAGUCCCACUCUGGGCA